UUUCGGUCCGGUGAAAAGGGAAGCAGGUGAAAGUCCUGCACGAACCCGUCGCUGUAAGAGAGGAGCAUUUUUUCAGAAUAAAACCACUGGGAUAGUUUCAAAAUUCCGGGAAGGUGAGAAAAUGUGUGGAUGCUCAAGUCAGAAGACCUGCCUUUUGUGUAU
rnacentral:ncRNA from 1 species